GACGAACGCUGGCGGCGUGCUUAACACAUGCAAGUCGAACGAUGAAACCUAGCUUGCUAGGUCGAUUGGUGGCGAACGGGUGAGUAACACGUGACUAACCUGCCCCCUUCUCUGGGAUAACGCUCCGAAAGGAGUGCUAAUACCGGAUACUCACACCGAGGCACAUGCCUUGGUGUGGAAAGUUUUUCGGAAAGGGAUGGAGUCGCGGCCUAUCAGCUUGUUGGUGAGGUAACGGCUCACCAAGGCGACGACGGGUAGCCGGCCUGAGAGGGGAACCGGCCACACUGGGACUGAGACACGGCCCAGACUCCUACGGGAGGCAGCAGUGGGGAAUAUUGCACAAUGGGCGCAAGCCUGAUGCAGCGACGCCGCGUGAGGGAUGAAGGUCUUCGGAUUGUAAACCUCUUUCAGUAGGGACGAAGCGAAAGUGACGGUACCUAAAGAAGAAGCACCGGCUAACUACGUGCCAGCCGCCGCGGUAA
rnacentral:rRNA from 1 species